rnacentral:lncRNA from 1 species
UAAGAUUCUAAAGCAUCCAACAGGCUCACUAACAGGGGAAAUAAAAAGGAAUGAGAUGAAAUUUAAUAGGAACAAAUUGUAAUCUACAUUUCAAAGCAUCAAAAAAAAACCCUGAAGAUUGCAAUGGAUCAGCAAAAUGAAUACCAAUAACUACAUAGAUGAAAUACAAGGCUUGGGGACUUGGGUUGAACAAAGCCAGGGUCAUCUGCAAAUGUGCUGGGUGCCAGGCAAUGAUAAUUAGUGCUUUGGCUGAAUACACAGUGGUACAGAGUCUGCAAAAGAGAGAGAUAAGCUAGCUCCCGUGCAUGGUCACCGUAACCCAGAGACUUGGCACAGGUGAGCAUCUGAAAGGGGUGGCUAGAGUAAAGCUGGACCUAGCCAUUUCUUCCCAGGAAGAACAGGACAGGGACAAGGAAUAAGAGGCCCAGAAAUCAACUGGAUCCCUGUAACCUGUGGGCACUGGCUGUGAGGGUCCUGAGAGUUGCCCUGCAUAUCAAUCUGCUUAUCAUUGCAUCAAAGACAUUCCCAGGCUGUCCUGUCUCUGUUGCCACAAGUAUCAGAGGGCUGGCCAGGAGCACCUGUCCCCAGAGACCGAUUGUGUUGACAAGUAGAACUGCCUCAAAGGGCACACGCUCCGAAAGCAGUCAUUUCCUGCUGAACAUGGUGGCCUUCCAGGGAUAGCAACGCCUGGGCUUCUGAGAUCUAAAUCCAAUGAGCGGUUUCCAGGGAGAAAACGCCUCUCUCCCAGGCCUGGUGCAGGACAAGGAAAGAACAUUGCCAUCUCCAUGCAAACAAUGACACAGCGGCCACAAGAGACCUCCUGCCACCAGAUCCAUAUAAGGCCCCUGUCAUAGGUGGAAGCCCGUAUCUCCUGCUUGACUUGUGCCUUCAGAUCCCACAGUUGGAACUUGUCCAUAGACUGGAAACUCACACCUUAUCCUUCCACUGUCUCUGGAGUUUGUUGGGAAGAGCUUUGUUUUCUCCUCUUGUGGCAUGGCUAUGUAGGGGUCAGUCAGUGCACCUCGAAUGGCACGGGGUGCAAGUUCAAAUGAGUGAGUCCCAUACUUGGUCUGAGUGACUGUGCAGGUGCGUAUAAUAAUGAGUGUGUGCAUGCCAGUAUGUUUGAUUGUGUGUGAGAGAGAGUGCCCUGUUAGCUCCCGAGUGUGUGUGCGCAAGUGCCUGUGCAUAUACCGUGAGUGUGUGCCUGUGUGCUUGUAUGUGUGCCCUAGGUUGUGUCUGGGUGGUGAAUGUGAGCACUUAGUGAACAUGUAAGUCUGUAUACACGUGUAUACCUGUGUAGCUGUGUGUGCCUUUCUGAGUGUGGUUGAAUGUUGAGAGUAGAAACCCAUGUGUUUGAGUGCGUGGGUGCAGAAGCACGUGCCUUUAUCCUUCCAUGCUUGGUUCCAAGGUCCAAAGAAGCCAGCCAGCCUCGAGCUCCCCAGCCAUGAAGGGAACCCUCGCCCUGGACCCGCUGGGCACGAGGGGGCGCCUCGCUACCGUAGCCGGGACGCGCUGGCCCCGGCGGCCCGGGGGCGGCUCACGGGGCGGUGCCGGACUCUUGAGCUGUGGGCUCUGGGGACGCUGCGCUCAGCCCCGAGGAGCCACGGCCCGGCACGCGGAGCAAGCAGCCAGAAGCCCGCGCCGGAGGGGUUUGAGAGGCGUUGACAGAGAUCUCAUGAGAUGGCACCAGAUGAAAAUAGUCAACUAGGAUGAGCCCCCACUUGGAAACCGUGAUCAAGGGAACAUUGUCCUACUGUCACCUCCAGCGGCUGCUGUUCACAUCAGGGAGGUUUAUAGGAAGCGCCCUCUGGAGUUUGUUUUGUGUGUUCUUCCUGGGUUCUUUCCGAUACCUCACAUGUGGACAAGAGAGGUGGGCAUGACUGGUGAUGACGGGCACGGUGUGGCCAAGCCUGGACCCUGUUCUUCCCACUCGGUCCCUGGUCCUCCAUCCAUAGCGUGGAGAGUCCUCUCCUGCACACAGGGUGGGUGCUCCUGGAACCACACACGGGUAGAUGAAGGGGGGUGUCUUUCCUGCAGCCUUGCUUUGUGUCACCCAUCCCUUCCCAUAAGCUGAGCAGGCUGACCCCAAGGUGCUGUGGUGGUACACCCUGAGCUGCCUGCCUUAAUACCUCAAGUAGCACAGCCCACAGGUUUGGGGUGGUGGUGGUGCAUAAUUGCCCCAAACACCGGCAAUGGAGGAAGGAUGUUUUACAAUGUCCUCCGCUGUGUAUCCCAGCGCUCCUCAAGCCAGCCAUUAAAAGCAUCUUGAUGUCUAACUUGAGUCCCUUCACUGCAGUUUGUUGACUGUGUUACCAUUGCUGGGAAUUUUUAUUGAGAUUCUAAUUGUUGUUUUUCCUUCAACACCCACACUGUUAGUACUGUGUUUGGAAAGUGAGAAAUCACAGAAUGUGAGUUGCAGAACAAACCCCAAAUUUGUUUGGCCACAAUAGUCUAAAAGAAGCAAACUUUCCCUCAGAUGUUGUCUCACUGGCAGACACAGCUGAGGAAGUCAGUGGAUUGUGUGAGUGAGAGCAUAAGAGGACCAGAGGCUUCCACCUGGUCUGGUCUGCUUCUGAAGAGCAAGAAGAUGCCCCCCCCCAAUGCAUUUCAGGGGCUGGAAGACGGAUCAGGUGUCUCAUGAGAAGCUCCACAGGAUUCCACCCUCCCAGUCUUGUGGUGCCUCUGAAAAUCUCCUGCUCAGUCAUGAGGCGCCAUCCUUGGAUGCAGGCAGAGGCCAAAUGGGAAACCUGGGCUCUGCCCACCUGCUGGUCAUGAGCUGCUGUUCAGUGCCUUGCAGCAUGGAGUCAGCCACAGUGGAGCGUCUGGCAACAUGGGACACAAGUGUCCAGAUUCCAGCAAAGAAGUCUCCCAUCACACAAAGAAUCGGGAAGAUCUCCAAAUGAGAGAGGAAGGUCAAUCAGCAGAUAUGAAGUCACGAUGACCAGACCCUAGAGUUACUGGACAGUGACGUAAGCUGCUAUUGUGGAGAUGCUCAGGUGAGCAGAGAUCUGGUGGCAAUGUGAGCUAGCAGGGCCUCCACAAUGGAACAGAAUACAUAAAUAAAAACUGACUAAACUGAGAAAUAUAAGAAGUUAAAUGGAAUUCUCCAGGGAUGGGCUCAGAGGCUGUUGGCAUAAACAGAUGAGAGUUAUUGAACCAGAGAGAGAAUGACCAACCCAUUGAGCUUGCUCUUCAGCUGUAACAACAAAUUCGGUGGUGAUACUCAGUUUGGGCAUGCUAAGGACCCAUCUUGCUGGAGGGAUGCAAAAUGGUCCAGCUUUUCUGGAAGAUACUUUGGCAGUUUCCUUUAGAAAUAAACUUGCAACAGUCAGCCAAUAUAGUAAAAAAUGAUAACUCAGACCUUGGUCUAAUUUAAAACUUUUUCUCUCUCCAGAGUGGGGCAGGAGGGUUGGGGCAUGCAGGGAUGUUUGUAGCAGCUUUGUUCACAAUAACAAAGUCCUGGAAAUAAGCAAAAUGCUCUUCCGCUUCUGAAUGCUUGGUUAAACUAUAGUCCAUCCUGCCAAUUAGGUGUGAAAAGGUGUCAUGUGCACAGAGGGCCAGGUCAUCUGUGCAGUGACGAGCAGAUCUCAAAAUAAUCGGACUCCGGGGUUCUGUUUUCUCAGCCUCCCAGAAUGGCUUGACUGUGGGACGAGAGAGCAGGCUGGUGACAUGGGGGGGGGGGUAAAGAGUGCUAUGGCAGGAGUAUGGUGUGUGCGGGCGGUGGAAGCAAGCAAAUGCUGGUAAGCUGGGUACUCUGGGUACUCAGCUAUAGGUUUUCAGGAGGUGUCUGUUGUAUUGCUGGGGAGAGGGGCGGCAGGAUCUCUCUGUGUUAUACUGAUGGUUUUAUGUGAGUCUGCAGAAAUCACAGUGUUAAAAGUCUCCGGGACAGUGACAGUAGCCUUGCCUUGUGCAUAGGAGCCAUUAGUCACCAGGUUCCCUCGUGCCUAUGGAUUUGGAGAGUAUGUCCCAUUAAUCAUAACUGAAAAACAUUUGUCAAUUUCUCUGUCAACAUUAUGGCUAAAAAAAAUGGAUCUAAUUAGCAAGCUCUCAGUCCAGUUCAUUACACACUCUUGUGCAUAUAUGAAAAUUAACACUUGGUAAUUGUGUCCCUUUGACAAAGGAAGUAAACCCAUUUCAAAAUAAAAUGACUGAAUUCAUAUAUGAGUUUAAGACUCAGAAAGAAAUUGUAGGAAUAAUAUUAACAUUCCAACUCAUAGUUUUACCACAAGCAUCUCCUGAAUCAUAUUUUACUUAAAACUGUUUACUUUAAAGCCAGGUGUGGUGACACAUGCCUAUGAUGUCAGCACUGGGGAGGCUGAAGCAAGAAGAUUGUUUUAAGUUCAAGACUUGCCUGGACAACGACAUAGUAAGAUCCUGUCUCAAACAAACAAACAAAUAAAAAUAUCUACUUCAGCUCCUUUCUCAACUUAUAAGUAAUCAUUACCCCAAUCCAUAUGAUGUUUUCAUUGGUAGAACAGGUAAAACUGAAAAUUAGCAAAUGUUGAGUAUUGACCUCCUGGUCGAUGGUCAGACGCUUUGUAAUUUUAAACGUUUCUCAGCUGCAGUCAUUCAAGAAUUGGUUAAGGGAAAGCGAAUUUCGUUUAGGUCACACAUGGCCUGCACAUGUGUGAAAACCUGUACUCUCAAAGCUUGUCUCUGCCUGGAAAAAAGACAAGCCUAAUGGAAGAGACUAGAAUAUUUCCUUGAGUACCUACAGAUUCAACUCAUUCUCCUUAAACCAAUUUAUGAAAAUAUCAGAGUCACACAGAUGGUCACACCCAUGAAAAGCUUUAUAUGAAGCUGGGAAGAUAGUCUUGCCAUUCAAUCAUGAGGGCUUGAGUUCAGUCUCCCAGAAUCCAUGUAAAAAGCAAGGCAUACUGACACAUUCUUGUAAUCCCAGAGCUGGGAAGGCAGAGACAAGCAGAUCUCUGGGGCUUGUUGGCCAGCUAGUACAGCCAACUUGUUUUCUCCCUCAUACACUCACACAGGUGCGUGCACACACAAACACACACUUAGCUUUGUUUGCCUGGGUAUCCUUAGCAGGAAAGGAUACCUUAGCAGGAAAUAAUACCUUAGCAGGAAAGUCUUUACAUCCUUAAAUGGUUGAAGCCUAAGCUUAGACCAAAGUUAGCCUCAGAGACUCCUCUUUGGAGUGCUGCAGCUUGGUGUGACAGGUCCUCUGACACCUGCCUACCCCAGGCUCAAUCACUCCUGGUAUGAUUAUUUUCAGAGUCAUUCACUCCAUGAUACUGAGCGAGUUCUGGCCCUUGGCACCAUAACACGUUGUGUUGGGUACUGUUUAUAUCCAUGUUUGGAGUGACAAAUGUGGAUCAACUUCCUUGACUAUCACUUGGUGUGAGAAACACUUCUACAGUGACAAACUGAAAUGUCUAUGGAAGUCUCCAUGUGUCCUCUGGUCUGGAGACCACUUGGGUUAUCUACCUAGCAGGAACUCAUUAGUUCAAGGGGAAUACUUGCCUUUGGUUCUCCUCCAGCUCUGACAUUGCUUGUUAUGGGAUAUUUGGUUGCACUGUGAUUCUCCCAGAAUGUCAAUAAAGUUAAACAUUGAAUCAAGGGGCAGAGUCCAUGACUGGCUGAUCAGAAUUUACCAUAGAGAUUUUGGAGGGCCCAGAUAGAGAGGCACAGGAAGAGAUAGAGAGGUGCUUUGAAAGGUUUGCAGACUUUUCGAUCUGGGAAAGCAGAGAAAGGGUCAGAUAGUCGUUCUUCCACUGCUUUCUUGAUCUAUCAGAUUUGUGCAUCAAUAUCUGACUCCCACGUUUUUUAUUAAUAACAAAACUGUGUAGGUAAAGGCUUCAGCUGCUCACUUGCGUCAUUCCUCCCAUCCCUCAUUGCUUUAGUAGUUCUCACAGCCCAGGUGUCAUUCCAGCCUUACAGAGAGGCUGGCACCUGUGCCUGGUCCCUCAUGUCCAGGGCACCCCCUCCCCAGGAUACUUCCUGAGCUCUGGAGUCUAUGUUGGGUAGAGUGUCAGUCUGUGGCGUGUGGGGGAGGGGGAGCCCACGCUCACCCAUCUAUGCUACAGAGUUCACCCUAGUUGCAGCCUCCGCUCCCCUGACCUCCCUCCUCCCACUGUAGUGUCAUGCACACAUCUGUGCACACACAGAGGCUUGCACCCAGACACAUGGAAGCAAAACCUGUUAGCCACCUAACCCAUGCCCCUCCCCCACCUCGGCAAGCCCAUUGUCAUCCAGCCCCUCCUGAAGGCAAUUUGGGUUUGUAUGAGGUUGAUUUGUUCUAAUCCUUUGCUAUUUGAUAGAGCUCUCAAUAAAAUCAUUUGAUGAUUUUAGAGGAAAAGUAGAUAUUUAAUUACUG